UCGGUUUACUGAAUAAAAAAAAGAGCUAAUUAUUAAUCUAUUUAAAUUACCAAAUUGGAAUUCUCAGCCCACCGCAUCUUGGUUCCGUCCAACCCGAACCAUUAGUCAUUAAAACCCGACCCGGGCCGGCCGUUUUGGCCCAACUACUACUUAUAUGGGUUUUGGUCCAAUUCAAUAAACCGUCUUGCCCGAGUUGGUUAUUCCGUCUCUCGCUCGCUGUCGAGUUCUUGGGGGAGGAAACUCCAACUAGAUCUUGAAGAGGAGGAGAGAGCCGAAGGGAGUCGAUCGAUCGGAUGAAGCGAGGACGUUACCCACCGCCAUCGAAGGGUUCCUCCGCCGAAGCUGAAGAAGACAAUUGUCUACAUUCCACCAGUUGAAGCCUCAAGAAUCAAAAUCAAGACACUCCUAUUACAAUCAGUACCAACCGUACGCUGGUUCAUUCAAAGUCAUGCAAAAUCUUAAAUGACAAAGUUAUCAGUGUAUAUAAUUGUUCUUACUUUGUUUUUCUUAAAAUUAAUUCAAUGUUGGAAAGCAUUUUCUACGUUUUCAGUUUUCUGGCUUUUGUAUUUUAAAGACUUAGAGAAAUGGCAUACACUUAGAAGAAGAAGGUAAACAUUUUUAUAAAGACAAAUUUCCCAUGCAGGGUGGCAUAACCAAGAGCUUAAAUCUCAAAGUAGAAUUAAACUACCAAGUCACAAUAAAAUAAUUAACUCUAUGAUUUUAUCCAAAACGACCAAAGUCAAUAGAUCCAAAACAUCCUGUAUCAAUAUGUGGUCUAAAAGAUUCUGGACUUCCAUUAUUCCAUAAUAUUUUCCUUGAACAAGAGACCGACUGUGCACAAAUCAAGUGAGCAUAUUUUUUUAUAUCCAUCAUUAUAGGCCUAUAUGAGGGUAUCUAUACAUGAACAUGCCAUUGAACAAAUCAUAUAAUGUGAUAAAAAUUAGAUGCAAAACAAGAAAUGUGUUAUAGACUUGUAUUCCAAUCUCGAACAUCGAAGUCCUUAUACUAUACACUAUACAAAAUUUAUAAACCUUAAAAUAAGGUAAAAGGGAGGGAUUAAUGAUCGUGACCACCAUAUGUGUAUAUGCAUGUGCAUAUAUACACAGACAUCUAGAAACCAAACAUAGACUUCUGGAAAAGACACAAUAGCAAUUAGAAUUUGAGGAUCCCUUCUGAUCAUCAAUCUCAAGAUUCUUGCAAGUACAAAUCGUACGUUGAAGCAAACAUGUGUUUGCCAAGAAUUUUCCUUGAGUCAUCCAUUAAAACGUGGGGGUUAGAAAGAUCAAGAUUACCAGAGGACAAAGACGACUGACAUCGUGAACGACCCAAAUAAACUGAAAUCAAGUAAGAAAGAGAAAAGGACAUGACACACCACCGCCGGUUACCCUACAUUUCACGAAGAUGCUACCCAAGACCUCAAAACCAGAUUACUAGAGGGAAAAGAAAUAGUGAACAAUAUCUGACCUCUUGACAUGUCAAUCGUCUUUUCAAAAGACUGACUACGCACAAACCAUUUGAGCAUAUAUUUAAAUCCAUCAUGAUAGCCCUAACUGUGAUUAUUAACACAUACACAUGCCAAUGAACCGAUCAUAUAAUGUGGUAAGAAUUAGAUGCAAAACAAUAGGGUAAAAGGGAAGGAUCAAUGAUCGUGAUGCUUGCAGACACACACAUCAAGAAACCAAACAUGAGUUAUGGCAAAGACACAACAGCAAUUAGAGUUUGAGGAUCCCUUCUGAGCAUCAAGAUCAAGAUUCUUGCAAGUACAAACCCUACAAGAAAUUUUCCUUAAGGCGUCCACUAAAACGUGGGGGCUAGAAAGAUCAACACUACCAGAGGACAAAGACAAUUGACAUCGCGAAAGACCAAACAAGCGAAAUCAAAUACUGCCUUCGGAUGCAUCAUGUCGCAAAAAAGAACAUUAGCCUUAACCAAAGAACGAGAAAAGAACAGAACAAACCACUGCAGUUACCCUACCACCUAGAAGACUCUACCCAUAACCAGAUUACCAGAGGCAGAAGAAAUAUGGAACAAGAUCCGAUCUCUUGAGAUGUCAAUCGUCUUUUCAAAAGACUGACUACGCACAAAACAUUUGAGCAUAUUUUUAAAUCCAUCAUGAUAGCCCUAACUGUGAUUAUUAACACAUACACAUGCCAAUGAACCGAUCAUAAAAUGUGAUAAGAAUUAGAUGCAAAACAAGAAAUGUAUUAGAGACUUGUGUUCCAAACUUGAAGAUCUAAGUUCUUUUGCCAUACACUAUACAAAAUUUAUCAACCUUAAAAUAGGGUAAAAGGGAAGGAUCAAUGAUCGUGAUGCAUGUACAUAUACACACAUCAAGAAACCAAACAUGAGUUAUGGCAAAGACACAACAGCAAUUAGAGUUUGAGGAUCCCUUCUGAGCAUCAAGAUCAAGAUUCUUGCAAGUACAAACCAUACAAGAAAAUUUCCUUAAGGCGUCCAUUAAAACGUGUGGGCUAGAAAGAUCAAGAUUAUGAGAGGACAAACACGAUUGACAUCGCGAAGGACCAAACAAGCGAAAUCAAAUACUGCCUUCAGAUGCAUCAUGUCGCAAAAAAGAACAUUAGCCUUAACCAAAGAACGAGAAAAGGACAGAACAAACCACCGCAGUUACCCUACCGCCUAGAAGACUAUACCCAUAACCAGAUUACCAGAGGCAGAAGAAAUAUGGAACAAGAUCCGACCUCUUGAGAUGUCAAUCGUCUUUUCAAAAGACUGACUAUGCACAAAACAUUUGAGCAUAUUUUUAAAUCCAUCAUUAUAGGCCUAACUGUGAUUAUCUACACAUACACAUGCCAAUGAACCAAUCGUAUAAUGUGAUAAAAAAAUAGAUGCAAAACAAGAAAUGUAUUAUAGACUUCAAUUCCAAACUUGAAGAUCUAAAUUCUUUUGCCAUACACUAUACAAAAGUUAUCAACCUUAAAAUAGGGUAAAAGGGAGGGAUCAUUUAUCGUGAUGCAUGUACAUAUACACACAUCAAGAAACCAAACAUGAGUUAUGGCAAAGACACAACAGCAAUUAGAGUUUGAGGAUCCCUUCUGAGCAUCAAGAUCAAGAUUCUUGCAAGUACAAAUCAUACAAGAAAUUUUCCUUAAGGCGUCCAUUAAAACGUGUGGGCUAGAAAGAUCAAGACUACUAGAGGACAAAGACGAUUGACAUCGCGAAGGACCAAACAAGCGAAAUCAAAUACUGCCUUCGGAUGCAUCAUGUCGCAAAAAAGAA